rnacentral:rRNA from 1 species
AACGAACGCUGGCGGCGUGGAUAAGACAUGCAAGUCGAACGGGAUUUUUUCCUGUAGCAAUACAGGAAAAAGUCUAGUGGCGAACGGGUGCGUAACACGUGAGCAACCUGCCGUGAAGUGGGGGAAAGCUCGCCGAAAGGCGAAUUAAUACCGCAUGUGGCCAAGGAAGACAUCUUCCUGACGCCAAAGCCGGGGCAACCUGGCGCUUCUCGAGGGGCUCGCGGCCUAUCAGCUUGUUGGUGAGGUAACGGCUCACCAAGGCUAUGACGGGUAGCUGGUCUGAGAGGACGACCAGCCACACUGGAACUGAGACGCGGUCCAGACACCUACGGGUGGCAGCAGUCGAGAAUUUUUCACAAUGGGGGAAACCCUGAUGGAGCGACGCCGCGUGGAGGAUGAAGGUUUUCGGAUUGUAAACUCCUGUCAUUAGAGAACAAGGCACACGGUUUAACUGGCCGUGUGUUGAUAGUAUCUGAAGAGGAAGAGACGGCUAACUCUGCGCCAGCAGCCGCAGUAA